CACAUGCAGUCGAACGGACUUUUCAUGAAGCCUAGCGAUUGAAAAGUUAGUGGCGGACGGGUGAGUAACGCGUGGGUAACCUGCCUUGUACUGGGGGACAACAGUUGGAAACGACUGCUAAUACCGCAUAAGCGCACAGCUUCGCAUGAAGCAGUGUGAAAAACUCCGGUGGUACAAGAUGGACCCGCGUCUGAUUAGCUGGUUGGUGAGGUAACGGCCCACCAAGGCGACGAUCAGUAGCCGGCCUGAGAGGGUGAACGGCCACAUUGGGACUGAGACACGGCCCAAACUCCUACGGGAGGCAGCAGUGGGGAAUAUUGCACAAUGGGGGAAACCCUGAUGCAGCAACGCCGCGUGAGUGAAGAAGUAUUUCGGUAUGUAAAGCUCUAUCAGCAGGAAAGAAAAUGACGGUACCUGACUAAGAAGCCCCGGCUAACUACGUGCCAGCAGCCGCGGUAAUACGUAGGGGGCAAGCGUUAUCCGGAUUUACUGGGUGUAAAGGGAGCGUAGACGGUUUUGCAAGUCUGAAGUGAAAGCCCGGGGCUUAACCCCGGGACUGCUCUGGAAACUGUAGAACUAGAGUGCAGGAGAGGUAAGUGGAAUUCCUAGUGUAGCGGUGAAAUGCGUAGAUAUUAGGAGGAACACCAGUGGCGAAGGCGGCUUACUGGACUGUAACUGACGUUGAGGCUCGAAAGCGUGGGGAGCAAACAGGAUUAGAUACCCUGGUAGUCCACGCCGUAAACGAUGAUUACUAGGUGUUGGUGGGUAUGACCCAUCGGUGCCGCAGCAAACGCAAUAAGUAAUCCACCUGGGGAGUACGUUCGCAAGAAUGAAACUCAAAGGAAUUGACGGGGACC
rnacentral:rRNA from 1 species